ACUCAUGUGAUGCUGCAGGAAUACUGAAGGCCAUUAGAGAAAAGUGUAAGGAGAACCGUCUUAACCUCAGUAACUGCUUGACUGCAACAGCAGCUGAUGGGACUUCUGUCAAUUUUGGGACGACAAACGGUGUCCUUACCCAUCUCCAGCAGGAAUCCGCUUUGUGGAUGAUCAAGGUGCACUGCAUCGCCCACAGGCUUGAGCUGUGCCUGAAGGGUGCUUUUAAAGGUUCUUACUUCACACAGAUUGAUGAGCUGCUCAUGCACCUUUACUCCCUGUACCGUCGUUCCAGCAAGAAAUGGAAGGAGCUCAAGGCCAUUGGAGAGGCUUUUGAAGAGCAUGUCAUGAAGCCAAGUUGCUCUCAGGCUCUCAAGAUGGAUAAACCACAGGCGAAAGGCCUUAUCCUCCCUCGCCUCCAACUACAGAUGCAUCAUAGCACACCUUCUGGAAAGCCAGGAGGAUUCUCGACCAGAUAAGCAGAAGCUCAAGGCUUACUGGCGACAACUAACAUCAUCCAGGAGUAGGGUCAUGGCUUCCCAGGCUGCUCUGCUGAAACUGAAGGAACAACCUGGCCCCUACCUGCACCCUGUCAUCACUGCCUUCACCAACACUGGCCGCACUGGUGUCUUUAUGUACAAGGGAGUGGAGAUCAGCACCUCAUCAACAUCUGCUGAGGCCUUCCAUCGCCAAAGGAGUGAAAUAGUUAACACCAUCACUGCAUGUAUUGGUCAUCUUUUUCCACAUUCUCCACAGAUCCUGUGCUCCUGGCUGCUGAAGUCUUUGAUUCUGUUAACAUGCCAGCUGAAGAUAACGUCAGUGCCAUUCAGCAGUAUGGAGACAGUUAGCUGCUUAAGCUUUGCGAGCAUUUCAAACCACUUCUCACCGGUAAUGGCUGCAAUGUGGUAGAGGUGGAGAGGGAAUGGUUAAAAGCCAAAUAUGAUAUUGUGCGGCACCACAAGAGGGAGGCCUUCCUUGUGCUUUGGCAGAGGAUGCUGACGGAAAAGGAGAGCAAGUACCUCAACUCACUACAUCUCGUCAGGAUCGUCCUGGUAUUCCCUGUUUCCACAUCUCAAGUGGAGCGCCUGUGUUCCACAAUGAAGCGUAUGCAAGGAGACUGCCGCUUAAGGCUGAAGACUUCGACCAUUGAGGAUCUCCUUUUAAUCAAAUCCCAGGGCUGUGACCCUGUUGCAUACAAGAGCGAGGAGGCAGUGGCAAGAUGGUGGGCAGCUGGCCUCUUGAGAAAGAGACCAAACAUUCAACCAUAUGGGCCAAGACUGAAC